rnacentral:rRNA from 1 species
UACGGAGGGUGCAAACGUUGCUCGGAAUUAUUGGGCGUAAAGCGCACGUAGGCGGCCGUCUAAGUCGGGUGUGAAAGCCCAGGGCUCAACCCUGGAAGUGCACUCGAAACUGGACGGCUUGAAUAUGGAAGAGGGUCGCGGAAUUCCCGGUGUAGAGGUGAAAUUCGUAGAUAUCGGGAGGAACACCAGUGGCGAAGGCGGCGACCUGGGCCAAUAUUGACGCUGAGGUGCGAAAGCGUGGGGAGCAAACAGG